CCCUUAGAUGUUCUGGGCCGCACGCGCGCUACACUGAUGCAUUCAACAAGCCUAGCCUUGACCGAGAGGUCCGGGUAAUCUUUGAAGCUGCAUCGUGAUGGGGCUAGAUUAUUGCAAUUAUUAAUCUUCAACGAGGAAUGCCUAGUAAGCGUGAUUCAUCAAAUCGCGUUGAUUACGUCCCUGCCCUUUGUACACACCGCCCGUCGCUCCUACCGAUUGAAUGUGUUGGUGAGGAGCUCGGAUUGGCAGCAGUUGGUGGUUCGCCACCGGCUAUUGCUGAGAAGUCCUCCAAACCGCCCCAUUUAGAGGAAGGAGAAGUCGUANCA
rnacentral:rRNA from 1 species